rfam:Ordospora colligata OC4 contig_02, whole genome shotgun sequence.
GGUGGUAUGGUCUAGUGGUAUGAUGUCUGCUUAGGGUGCAGGAGAUUUCGGGUUCGAUUCCCGAUACCGCCC